rnacentral:antisense_RNA from 1 species
CUUCACCGACCCCAACAACAACGGCUCAUGCCCGUCCCGGCCCUGACCGUACGUCGCCAGCAGCGCCUGCGCCUC